UGCUGAGCUCUUAUGGCCUAAUAAUCUUUUUCUUUUUUCUUUUUUUAAAGCUAGUGUUUGCUGGGUGAUAACAGCACAUGCCUUUAAUCCCAGCACUUGGGAGGUAGAGGCAGGCGGAUAUCUGUGAGCUCAAAGUCAGUCUGGUGUACAGUUCCAGGACAGCCAAAACCACAGAGAAACCCUGUCUCAAAAAAAAAAAAAAAAAAAAAAAAAAAAAACCGAGGCUAGUGGUUUGUUGUUGUUUUUUUUUUUUUAGUUUUUUCAAGACAGGGUUUCUCUGUGUAACUUUUGGAGCCUGUCCUGGAACUAGCUCUUGGAGACCAGGCUGGUCUCAAAUUCUCAAGAGAUUCACCUGCCUCUGCUUCCCAAGUGCUGGGAUUAAAGGCGUGUGCCAUCAACACUCAGCUGAAAGGGCUAGUGUUAAACCUUGUUAAGUAACCAAACCAGUGCAUCUUAAAAAUAACUUGCUUUUUGGCCUCAGCAUCAUCUUCCUAGUACAAAUUCCUGUACCACGAACAAGGAGUAAAGGGAGAAGCAGCAAACUCUCAUACUGUUGGGUAGAAAGAGGUCCAAACAAAAGAAUCACCCAUAGCCUGCAGGAGUAGAAAUAAGGGUACUGGGGGACAGUGGUUGGUAUACUGCUCUCAAAGAUCAACCCUGAGAAAGUCUUGCUUCAAACCAGUCACUGGUAGCCCUCUAUCUUACACCUGUGAGAUCUUAGCCCAGCUCUGUUCUUACAGCCAGGGUUAACACAAGUACGUUUUCUUUUGGGUCUUACCUGAAGAAUAAAACCAACUUAGACUCUAUUUCUCAUGGCAAGAACUUAGAGGAAUGAAUUGUUUUUAAUCAUUAUUUUGUUUAGAAUCUUAACAGAAACUAAGGAUUGUAACAGAUCCUUCUUUGGACCUCCAGCUCCCAAAUAAUGACCUGGAGAUGUCUUACUAAGUAUGAAAGCUUAGGCUUGUUCCCAACCAGCUCUUAUAACUUAGUACUUUUAUAUAAAUCGACGUUCUGCCACGUGGUCUGUUACCUCUCUUCAGUACUUUAUGUCCUAUUUCUGUUGCAUCUGGCUGUUGAAUCUCGCCUGAUUCUUCCCUGGAGUUUCUCUCUCCCUAUGAAGGCCCCCUAGCUAUUGGCUAUUUGGAUCUUUAUUAAACCACUCAGAAGGUGCCUCAGCAGAGACACAUCUUCACAGUGUACAAACGAUUAUCCCACAACAAAGGAUGUAUUUGGACGAAGCAUAAAAAGGAAAUAAAUUGUUAUGUUCCUUCUCUUCAGAUGUUUGUUACCACUGGGUGACCAGAAACCACCACUAAUAAGGCAUUAAGAAACCCAGAAAAAAGAAAAAAAAAAAACAAGUGAUGAUACACACUUGUAAUCCUGCACUCAGAAGGCAAAGGCAGGGGAUCUCUGUGAGUUCAAGGCCAGCCAAGGUGACCUUGUCUCAACAACCGCUCCCUACCCCCAAUGAGAAACAAUAACAGAAAGACAGUUAACACCCACUUCAACAAGGGCCUGUGGAAAGGCUUCCUAUUGUAACUUACAUUAUAUGGAAUUGCCAUUUCAAAGUAACAGCACACAAUGAAAUGUCAGUGCAUUCUCAGCUCAUGCUUUAUUGCUAAAACAUAUACAUACAGGUGCAGUUUCAAACUCUCACAAUAGUUCCUUUUCCAAAGAGUCAAAUUUCUUCAAAACUCCCAAAGAUGCAUAGAUUAGGAAGCUGCCUUUUGUAGUGCUUCAAACAUUCAGUGCAGCUCUUGUAACAUAACCUCAUACACCGACGGUUUGAUGCAAGGUACAUGGAAGAGCAAGCAAACAGCAACACCUGUGCUUGAAGGCAAGCCAGCCACACCACUCUCAGGUAGAUUACUUGGAUAUUCUUAACCCUUCUCAUUAUAGGGAUAGGUGGGUGUAAGGUUAAUGCCCAGACAGAAAUGUUUAAAGACUGGUAACACGAUGACAGAACACCUGUCUGAUCCCAGGGCCUAAGUGCUCUCUAAGAGCUGUGUCCCAAGCAGAAAAACAAAAACACAAACUCACACAAACUCAAACACAGCACACCAUUACCAAAGGUGUCAAAAUGUUUUGAAAAUCUUCAGUAAUCAUAAUUAUAUUCUGACUUUAAAGGUAUUUAAAGUCUGAGCUCUACCAAAUAUACACUUAAUUUUCAUGUAUAAUCUGUUUUAACUGACUUUAGUAGACUAUCAGAGUUAGAGGACUAAGUGUUUGUUAGAGGAAAGAACUUAACCAUUCAUCUUUAUUGGCUGGCAGAAUAUCAGGAAGUGGCAAAGAACAUUUCUAUUUGGGACAAACCACACACCCCAAUUCCUGUACUUCAGUGGGAAGCAAACACCACACUGACAACUAUGAAUUCAGUUCUCAAAGAUGGAAGUUACCAUUCUAGGUCACAUCCACAGCAAAGCACCACAACAAAAGUUAAAUUUCGCCAGGCAAUGGUGGGGCAUGCCGUUAGUCCCAGCACUCAGGAGGCAGAGGCAGGCGGAUCUCCUGAGUUCGAGAUCAGCUUGGUCUACAAGAGCUAGUUCCAGGACAGCCUCCAAAGCCACAGAGAAACCCUGCCUCAAACCACCACCCCCCAAAAAGUUAAAUUUCAAACUAUUUUUCCAUCAUAUGACAUGUAAAUUGAAUUAAACCCAGUGAAAGUUUUAUUUGAACUGAAUUCUAUUUAGGUCUUUCAUACAUUAUAAAUACUUCUCAUUAAUUGCCAAAACUAUUUGUUAUUUGAUCAUUUCCAAGUCAAGAAAUCUAAGAAAUUCUUAUGCUGCCAAAUAUGGCUAUUUUUGGUAGUGCUGGCAACUGAACCUAUUUUCUCAGGUGGCUCUGCCACUGUAUUACACUUCUGCUCCUUUCACCAAUGUUUGUUCACCCAAAUAAAUGUUUUGUUUUUUGGAAGAAGACAAACUUUUCCUGUUCAUCAGGAAUCAAAAGUUUUAGGCAAGAUCCAUACUUUAGACCAACUCAUUUAAAGUAAAACUCUAGCUCAACUACUGUAAAUACAACAGCAAUGGCAGAACUUCUUCGACUCUGCAGAGACUCUUAGUGCUGGGCUACUUACAGAUAGUAUCAGCACCUACGGAAGUAAGUGCACACUGAUGCUACACACCUCCAAGAUACUCAUGUGUUUUCUGUGAAGGAGUCUAGCUGUGGCACACAGGCUGGCUUCUGUCUGUUCAGGGACUGCAGAGCAUGCAUCCGGCUUAAUCUAUUUUAAGAAACCCCAAACUUACUCUACAUAAAACUAAUGAAACAAACCUCACAGCUAGUUGUUUAGAAAACUGAACACUUAUUUCUGAAUUAAGAUGACUGACCCUAUAUAGGUUAUUUCUCAAUUCUGAAACCCUGCACCGUCCAGAUUAUAGCAGCUUAUUCAACAUGCUUAGUUUGUCUUUUAUUUGCAAACAUGCUUGGGAAUAAAUAGAGCUAGGAAACAGAGUGAGCACUGCUUGCUGUAUUCCUAACAGUAUGAAUGUCUUGUGGUUGCCCCUUGUUUAUCUUGUACUUCCCAUUUUUCAGUGGAAGUAAGACAAUCUUUAAUUAGAAAAUAAAAAUAAUUCAAACAAUAAAAUCAAGCUAUUGGUUUAAGUAUCUAUUGCUUCAUUAUUAAUAAAUGCAUAUAGAAAAUUACUAGUAACUACCUAAUAAUGAGAAAUUUCAACCAUGCAUUAGAAUUUCAGCAUUCUAUAAUCAGUUAUGGGCCUGCUAGUAUUGCUUACACUUUCAACCAGGCCUGGUUUUAAUAAACAUGCAAACCCUUUGAUUCAGAACUGUGGGAAAAGCAAUGAUACAUGCAAAACUUCAGCUGAGUAUGUCAGUCAAAUACCUUAGAGAUGCAUUCUGGUACACUGUAUCUACUACAACGCUGCUUCAAAACAGAAACAAGUCAUAUACAAAAAGGUUAAACUUAAGACUUCUAUUUAGCAUUAUAAAGGGCAUUUAGUACAACUGGACUCACAUGCUAUGGAUUCUUUUAUGUAUGGAUUAAUCUGUUCAACUAAUGAUUUGGGUGUUUACUCAAGCUGAUAAGCACAACACUAUUUUAUUUUUUUGUAUUGGUAACUGCAGUAAAAUUCUUCAAUUCUCAAAAAAAGAAAGAGAAAGAAAGAAAGAAAGAAAGAAAGAAAGAAAGAAAGACUUCUAUUUAAUUCUACUAAAAGACUUAGCUAGAAAUCCUGGCCCUUUGAGGGUAAAAAAUGUUUAAAGCCCUGGAAAAAGGAACUGAGGUGACUGUCUUUUUGGAGCAGUAAGUUUUCUUGGCCACUUAUUGAGAGCUGUAUGGGUGGUGAGGAUACUUAGGCAGAAUGGGUUCUUUUCUGAUUCACAUUAAUGAACAGCUCCCUGGGGAAAGUUAAGGAGCAGAGCUACAACAAUGUAAACUCAAGCAGUAAUGCCCUGAAAUUUAGCAUAGCCCUCUGCAUUUUAAAACUCUCGGCCAAGGGGCUUUUCCAAAAUGGUAUAAUUAAUAGCCAAGCAAUGUUCUAAAUAAACUAGAGACAAUUUGCUUGCACCUACAGCACCAUGAGAAUGUAAACUCCUGAAGGUGGGGGGGGUUCCUCUUCAUAUUUUGCAUAUCACAGGUACACAAAGAGUAAACAAGAGACUACAGGAAGAUUGAAUACUAAUUAACCACAUACUUUGAGACCACAAAAUCUUGUAGCAUAGUUUUACACUUAGAACUAUAAACAUGGCUGUUAAGGGUAAUCUCUGAUGUAACUGAAUUAGCCAUGUGUCCAUGAUCAUACAGAUGUCUGAAUAUUGCUUGGUUGACUCAAAACCUAACAUGGACAUCACAGGACAUUUAAAGAGAAACUACACUCAGUAUAGCCUUUUCCCUACUCUUAGGCUUGUAAUAAAAUAACUCAUUAGAGUCUGAGAUCUACAAAACUACUCUUAAUUAUUUUUCCCCUGGGAAAACAAAGGAACACAGACCCAGAUCUUUUCAGAUGUUCAAGUGGCCACAAUGGACAUGAGGUAAAGGAAUCGAGGAGUCACCCCAGUUCCACUCUUAGAUUCUGAUGUGAGCUGCGUGACUCCUCAGAUCAAGAAAGGGAUGAGUUUGCUGCGUUCUCCUUGUUAAAAAAAUAUGCAGUCACACACAGGCCAUAAGCUUCAUCACAUACAUAUAUCAGACACAUACAUAACCCCCAGGCUCCAUACUGCCCAGUCAUUUUGUUUAUCUUUCAUCCCUAACUUCCUUGAUCUAAGUACAAGGAAAAGCCAGCAAGUUCUUGAGGCUACCUUCCCCACCCUCCAGACACACCAAUCACACACAAAAACAAAUUUUUCUUUUUGAAAAAGUAGCCAGGAAGCCAAUGAACAAAGGUUACAGAGUAUACCUCAUUCUACACAAUAAAUGACUAAUAAUAAGAACAAUUUAAGCAAGACCCCUACUUGUUGGCUUCACUGGGAAUAUAGAAGUACAUUUGUUUCCAGGUUAAGCACUAGAAAGAUUUUAACUGCUGUAAACUCUGGGGAAACAAAAUAGUCUUUAACACAUAUAUGAAAGUUGUUGUUUUUCACACGGCACAUUCAUAUACAUUCAUAGUUUAAAUGCUUUUUAACCUAUGAUGUAUUUUCCUUUUGUGGACUCUAUAAGACUGCAGAAGCCCACAAAUUCAAAUAGUAAUCACUCAACCAUACAGCUUUGUGAACACUAUUUGCUAUACAUGCAAAACUGUUAUUGCUACUAAAUUCCACCUCUUUAACAUUUUUAGUUCAUUUAUGGCUUUUUUUUUGCAAUAGGAAAUAUCCUUUCCUAUAUACUGUGCUACUUUAUAUGCAUUACUUUUUCAAGUUUUUCUCCCUUUGUUUCUUAAAUUUAAAUGCUUUUCAGAAGCAGUUUCACCCAGGUGAUAUUCUACAGGGAUCUAUUCCUGGGUCCCUGGAUAGCUAAUACUACUCAUACCUAGUUUGUGUGGGAAAAAGUCACAUUAAAAACAAUUUUAGAUUUUCUAUCACACUAAUGUAAUUCGUAGGUCCUAGACUCUCUUUUCUUUUGGUUUUCUGAGACAGGAUCCCAUGUAGCUCAGAUUGACCUCCAACUCACUAUGUAACAAAGGAUAACCUUGAACUCCUGAUCCUCCUGCCUCAGCUUUUCAAAUUCUGGGUUUACAGGCAUGGACAACCACACCUGGCAGGACUCUAAUUCUAAAAUUAAAACAAAACAAACAAAAACCCAAGACCCCACAACACUCCAGAAAACUGUUCCGUCCAAGUUUCCUAGGCAACUUUUAGAGGUAGGAAUUUCAUUUUACAGAAAACUUUCUUUUUUCAAAACAAAGCAACUACUUUAUUUCCAUAAGGAAAGUAGGAAAAAAAGCCUAGAAUACAAGAGACUCCAGACUGCCCACAAGGUUCUGCAAUUAGCGCAUGUGAUGCAAACAGGAAAGAAAAUGGCCAGAGAUUAAAUGUGCUAAAGCAAUUAGCAUAGCAUCUCAGACAUGCAAAAUAGAAAAUAAUUCUCUGGACACAAAAUAGGGAAAAUGAACCCAAGACAUACAAUACAAAUAUGAGCAAGCUAGCUUCAAACUAAGAGAGCAAGACAUAAGCAUGAAAUGAGGCCUUGCUCUGAGGGCUGAAAAGCUACAAAGGCAGCUAUGUGUAGCUACCUUGUGAAAGGCUAACAUUUCCCCAAGCACAAUGUUUCUCAAUGUGAACCCACAUUUCUGUUCAGACAUUAGUUGUUUUGGCCUUUAUGUCCUAUCCCCAGGGAGGAUAUCACAGAUUCAUACACAAAAAGUAAAGGUCUAGAAUUUUCCACUCUUUUUACACUACUAGUUAUUAUCACUAUUUCAUCCUGAAGUUUAAAAUUAUGCUAAAUUCAUGCACUAACCCCUAACAUGGCACUACAAUAUGCUACCAAGUACUACUGCUUACAAAACUAUACACAUCUCAAAAUGGAAGACAUUGGUGAUUUUGUUGUUCUUAAACAACUUGUAACACUUGUCCACAAGUAUUAAAAUAUACAUAUAUAUAUAUAUAUUUAUAUUGCACAUAUCCCGUUUUUGUUUAGUAACUUCAAAGGAAAAACUGCCAGCUUCCAUGGAGAAGGGAGGAGGCGCGGCUACAUGUGGAAGCACAGCCCUAAAAUGGUAGUUUUUGCUGCUAUUAAGAAAACCCAAGCAAGACUAUAAAAUGAAAAUGUACUGCACACCAGGCAACUACAGCUGGAACAACCCAGGCUAUGAAAUGCCAUCUGGUGCUAACAAUGCAGGGCACAGGAGCAUCUUUGACAAAGGGAACUCAACUUAAACUUGAAGGUUUAAGCUACAAAUGUGAAGCAUUUGGAGCAAAAGGUGACACCUCCUUGGUGGUGACAGCCCUGCCACAGGGCCUUAGCCCAUAAAGUUGCCCAAGGUAAGGUGCAGGAACUGUCACCAGCUGGCUUCCAUUGUCUUCUAAAUGAAAAUAUAAGUGGCUGGGGUACUUAAAGAGGAAAUUUGGGUUAUAUUUUUGUUGCAUUUUGAGACAGGUCUGUCAAUCAGGCUGGCUUUGAUCUUGUGGCCAAUACUCCUGCCUCAGACUCCAAAAUGCAGUGGUUACAGGUGUGGGGUAACAAGUCCAGCAAUUUAGGUUAAAUUUAAGCCUUAUUUCUCUAGUGUUGUAUCAUUAUUUGCUCUCAUUAAAAGGUUUUUUUAUAAUAAGUAUUUAAGAAAAAAAAACUUUCAGUAUAAAUUCAAAUUUGUUGCCCAAUCUGACUAAAUUAUUAGAAUAUUCAAAUUUCCCAAUUUUGAUCCUUUCUAUGACUCAAAUUCACAGCACUGGGAAAUGGUUCCAGAAAUCAGCUCCAAGAGCACCUGUUCCUUCUCUACUGGCAACCAUUGCAACCAUUUCAACAGUUCCCUCCCUUGUAAAAGCCUGGCAUCACAUAAAAUAGACUUCUCUUGAUUUGGAAGCAAAGAGAGGUUUUCACAAUGGUUCCUUAUAACUGUUAAUUAAAGGAAAAAAACAAACAUGCAUUAUUUCUUGGAACUAGUUUUGAGGUCUCCCUACCCCCACCCUGAAUUUCAUUUAAAUCUACAGCGACUGGCAAUAGGAUCCACACUUCUUACUAGACCUGCUUUUCUUAUUUGAAGUUUUGUUCAGAUCCUGAAUUUCUUCCAAGAGUAGAUAGAGUUGAUUGACCACAGCACUAGGAACAUUGCUUCUGAGGUCCAUUCUCUGGUAAGGAAGUUCAAUUCAAACUGGGAAAAUUUACCUGAGUCCCAGAAUUUCAGCCUUACAUUACAUUAUCACCUAGAAAAAUAAAUGUCCAAGUACCCAUCUUGGGAUAAAGGAAGUUAUUUAUGCUUUUAUAAAAAAUGCAAGUACAUAAUGUAAAAAUGCUGAAAAGUCAGAUGAUGCUACAUAAGACAUCACCGCUUCUUUUUCUUAGAAGGAUUUAUAUGCGGAGUUAUUUUUUUCCUUUACUCCUCUAGGUCCAAAGUUGUUGAAGGCAAGUUACAAUAUAGGGUCCAUCACAUAACACAUAUUCUACUUUCUUUCCAGCCACAGCUGCACAGAAAACCAAAGUCUCAUGUGCUACAUUCGAUUCCACAAAAAAAAAAAAAAAAAAAAAAAAAUCUUGAAAAACAAGAGUGGUGUUACUGGGUUCAUUUUUUUGUUUGUUUGUUUGUUUGUUUUGUUUUCAUUUUUCUGCUGUUUUUGAGAUAGCUUUACCAUGUGGCUCAAGCUGAACCUGAACUUCUGAUCUUCACUGGCAGUUUGAGGCAAGCAUCAGCCCAGCCUGUUCUCUUCCCACUUUGAACUAGCUGCAGGCUAGCUGGUCCUUCCUGAGGAGGAUGAAAAAGCAAAGCAAAAGAGACAAAACUCAAACACUCAAGACCAUCAAACUGUCCAAAGCCCUCCCAUGAAACAAUAGCUUUCAUCUCCAAGAGGAAAAUCGUAUUUAAAAACAAAAACAUGGAAUUAUACAUAUAAAAAUGUGACUCUGCACACAAACUGCAAUGGCUUCACUUCCAUGUGAAAUCAACCCUGAUAUCUUUCUUGUCUUUUGCUUUUGUCAUACCGGUGAUUUGUUUUUGCCCAGGAAUCUGUCAGAUGGUGAGCCAGGAUUUAGAUAACGUUUCUUUCACCUCAAAUUAUAAUGGAUAUUUGGAAUUUACCACUGCAGUCUCAAGUGUGCUUAUAAUAGUGUUAAAACUGGCAGAAUUAAAAAACAAAACAAAAACCUGAAGUCAUCCACACAUGGUAUUUGUAUAGUUUGUUGUUUGGAGCUUUUAAAGGAAGAAUUCACAAUGCACAAUCUAAGCACCUGUUUCAAAUUAAACAUCUUCCUUCCAGUUGCAAACAGUGUCUUUCUAAUGAAGCAAACUGCAGCAGAAGACCCUUGCCAGUUGGUUUUUUCUUCCUGAAGUCAGCAGACAGCUGCAUUCUCCGGCUUCUCUGUGCCGAGUCUGAGGUGGAAUAAAGGAAAGCAGCCUCUCCAUUCCAAACCAUGGAGGCCCCUGUAGAAAGCCAUCUGAAUUUCACCAAGGAAAGUGGCUGUAUGAAAGAACCAGGAUGCCCCACUGAGAAGACAACAUAGAAAGUCCUGGAAAAACAAAUCAAAUUCAAAAUAGGAAGAUUAGGACAGGGACUCCUAUGUAAACUUACUUUUAAAAUCAGUAUUUAAAACAUACAUACAUGUGCAUACAAAUACUUUAGUUAGGUGUGCUGUGUUCACUUGUAGCCUGUAGUACUGAGGCUGAGGCAAAGAGGUUACAGAAUUCAAAGCCAGGCUGAGGUAGGUAUUGAGACCAUGCCAUAAGCCAAUGACAUCUUUUCUAUUCCUCAAAAAGAAACCUUGUGAGGCUGGAGAGAUGGCUCAGCAGUUAAGAACAUGUGCUUGCAGAGGAACAAGUUCAAUUCCCAGCACCCAGAUGGUGGAUAACACAGGGCACACUCACAUGUAGGGAAAACAUUCAUACACAUAAGGUAAAUCUAAAAGAAUAAAUAAAUGAAUGUGUUUUUAAUUGAAAAAAAAAAAAACCCUUGGGUGGCACAAGUCAUAACUCAAUAAUGAAUGCUUUUGGGUUUUUGUGGUUUUGGUUUUUUUGGGGGGUGGGUGUUCGAGAUAGGGUUUCUCUGUGGCUUUGAAGGCUGUCGUGGAACUAGCUCUUGUAGACCAGGCUGAUCUCAAACUCACAGAAAUCUGCAUGUCUUUGCCUACUGAGUGCUGGGACUAAAGGCCUGCACUACCAACUAUCAGACUGAGCGCUUUUGUAGCAUAAGGGAAGCCCUGGGUUCAAACCAUAGAAUGGUUAAAAACAAGUAAAUAACUAAAAAAGUAAAAGUAAAAUCCUGCAUCCAUUAAAAAAACAUUUUAGCAGAUUUUAGGGGCAUUAAGCCUAUAAUCCUAGCACCUGAGAGGCAGAAGCAGGAGGAUCACCACAAAUUUAAGUCAACCUGGUCUACAUGGUAAAUUCCAGGCCAACUAGGGUUCCAUAGUGGGAGCCAUUUGAGAAACAAGACACCGUUCUCUUGCACCAAGAAGGUUGCACAGGCCUGUUAUCCCAGUAUUAGGAAGCAGGGACUUUAGGACUACUAUUAAAUCUGAGGCCAACCUGAGCUACACAAUGAGACAAGUCUCAAAAUAAAAGUUUUUUCUCUAUUCUCCCUUUCCUGCAUGUCCUAAAAAACCAUAUUUUUGUUGUUGUUGUUUGUUUUUUAGUGUGGGGUUGAUCUAUGCAGCCCUGGCUAGCCUGUAACUUGCUGUGUAGAACAGGCUGACCUCAAACUCACAGAGAUAAGCCUGGCUCUCCUAGGAUUAAAGGUACGAAUCACCACUACCACACAUGGCUCUCAUUACAACCCUGAGCAGGUUAGGUUGCCAGGUUAGUUCAUCAAAUGCCCUGCUCUCUGUGCUAUCUUGCCAGCCCAUCAUUUUGACUAUUACUAUGAUUCUUUUUACUCUCAUUAAUUCACAUUAAUGGUACACAAAGUUAAAGUCUGACUGGUUGUACACAGAAUGAUUUUCAUAAUACAAUUAAUGUAUUUAAGUGGGUACUACAGAUUAAGUAAGUGUCCUGCCACAAUUCCCAUGUUGAAAUCCUGAGUCUAGUAUCUGAGACUCUGACAUUACUUGGAAAUAAGGUCAUAACAGGUAUAACCAGUUAAGAGGGUGCUGGAUGUCAUGUGGGUGGUAGGAACUGAAUCUGGAGGUCCCUAAAAGAAUAUUGGAAGCCGGGCGUUGGUGGCGCACGCCUUUAAUCCCAGCACUCGGGAGGCAGAGGCAGGCGGAUCUCUGUGAGUUCAAGACCAGCCUGGUCUACAAGAGCUAGUUCUAG
ensembl:lncRNA